rnacentral:rRNA from 1 species
UACGAAGGGGGCUAGCGUUGCUCGGAAUCACUGGGCGUAAAGGGUGCGUAGGCGGCUCUUUAAGUCCGGGGUGAAAUCCUGGAGCUCAACUCCAGAACUGCCUUUGAUACUGAGGAUCUUGAGUUCGGGAGAGGUGAGUGGAACUGCGAGUGUAGAGGUGAAAUUCGUAGAUAUUCGCAAGAACACCAGUGGCGAAGGCGGCUCACUGGCCCGAUACUGACGCUGAGGCACGAAGGUCAGGGGAGCAAACGGG